rnacentral:lncRNA from 1 species
UGGGAGUUCGGAGUUUGAAGCCUGGCGCGAUGGGCACUGGUGGUCCGCAGGGGUGCGCUCGAGGCGCUUGACCUGGCUGGAGGUGAAUUGCGCUGAAAAAAGCCACCCCAUGCCCACCAGUGUCAACGUGAUUUGAAACCUUGUUAAGGAAAUGCAGACACUAAUUUGCACUUUCUGGAUUUACCCUGAAAAUUGUCAUCCUUCGUCCUGAUAAAAAGAGUCGUUUCUCGCGUGCACAUUUCUUGAGUGCUUUCGCUCGUGCACACUUACUCAGUGUCGACUUUGAGCCAGUCAUUGGGCUGAGCAAGAUAUAGAAAUGAGUAAGUCAAGGGCUGUCAGACAUUGCAGGUAAAGAAAGGAUUGAAAGGUUUUUAAAAAAUAUCUAUUCUGUUUUUAUAAUUGUAAAAGUAAUACUUUUUGUUUCUAAAAAUUCAAAUAAUACAGAAGUAUAAAACAUAAAAUUGACCCCCAAUCCUUCACCAGAACAUAUAAACAAAUUUGGUGUACAUUAAUCCAGACUUACUGUAUACCAGAUAUUAUUUACAAUAUGGGGCUAGACUUUACAAACUCUUGUGCAACUUGUGUUUUCGCAAUUAUUUCAACUUGAGGCUUGUGAGUGCUCAAAUAUUUUUGAUUAAUGAAUAAAUAAAUGAGUGAGGAAAUGUUAAAAAAAAAAACCUGAGUUCUGUUGUCACCCUUGCCACUGACCAUUGAGUAAAUGACAAUAUGAGUCAUCUAAGUAAGAGUUCUAAUUAGUACAUUAAUACUCUGAACUGGAUAAUAUCUUAGGUUUCCUCCAGCUUUAAAAUUGUAUUGUUACAUGCGAGGCUCUUUCAUCAACUAUUUAUUGAGAGCUCAUUUUGUGGCUGUCAAAGUGAGGGCACUAAGGAUGUAGCGGUGAGCAAAAUAGAGAAAUUCCGUUCGAGGCUGUGUUUAUUAAAUAGGUUGUGGCCCAUUAGUGAGUUGCAAAGUCAGUUUGGUGAGUCUCAACUAGCACCUUGUAAAAAA